UACGUAGGGUGCAAGCGUUGUCCGGAAUUAUUGGGCGUAAAGAGCUCGUAGGCGGCUUGUCACGUCGACUGUGAAAACCCGGGGCUCAACUCCGGGCCUGCAGUCGAUACGGGCUGGCUUGGGUGCGGUAGGGGAGACUGGAAUUCCUGGUGUAGCGGUGAAAUGCGCAGAUAUCAGGAGGAACACCGGUGGCGAAGGCGGCCCACUGGUCCGGUACUGACGCUGAGGUGCGAAAGCGUGGGGAGCAAACAGG
rnacentral:rRNA from 1 species